rnacentral:tRNA from 1 species
UGGGAUGUCGCCAAGAGGUAAGGCACCAGACUUUGACUCUGGCAUUCGCAGGUUCGAAUCCCGCCAUCCCAGCCA